rnacentral:rRNA from 1 species
GACGAACGCUGGCGGCGUGCUUAACACAUGCAAGUCGAACGGAAAGGCCCUGCUUUUGUGGGGUGCUCGAGUGGCGAACGGGUGAGUAACACGUGAGUAACCUGCCCUUGACUUUGGGAUAACUUCAGGAAACUGGGGCUAAUACCGGAUAGGAGCUCCUGCUGCAUGGUGGGGGUUGGAAAGUUUCGGCGGUUGGGGAUGGACUCGCGGCUUAUCAGCUUGUUGGUGGGGUAGUGGCUUACCAAGGCUUUGACGGGUAGCCGGCCUGAGAGGGUGACCGGCCACAUUGGGACUGAGAUCCGGCCCAGACUCCUACGGGAGGCAGCAGUGGGGAAUAUUGCACAAUGGGCGGAAGCCUGAUGCAGCAACGCCGCGUGCGGGAUGACGGCCUUCGGGUUGUAAACCGCUUUCGCCUGUGACGAAGCGUGAGUGACGGUAAUGGGUAAAGAAGCACCGGCCAACUACGUG